rnacentral:rRNA from 1 species
UACAGAGGUCCCAAGCGUUGUUCGGAUUCACUGGGCGUAAAGGGCGCGUAGGCGGGAUGGCAAGUCGGUCGUGAAAUCCUUCGGCUCAACCGAAGAACGUCGGCCGAUACUGCCGUUCUUGAGGGAUGCAGAGGAGAUUGGAAUUCCCGGUGUAGCGGUGAAAUGUGUAGAGAUCGGGAGGAACACCGGUGGCGAAGGCGGGUCUCUGGGCAUCUCCUGACGCUGAGGCGCGAAAGCGUGGGGAGCAAACGGG